AAGUGCGGCCAGACCGAGGCUGGAGAAAGAGCGCAGCCAGAGACGGAAAGGCAGCCAGGCUGCAGGAUAGUGAUGGGGGCCAAGGGCCCUGCUGCACACUUGGACAGGAUGAACUUGGCCCACAUUUUGUAGAAUCUGCAAAAGCCCCGGGUUCUCUCAAAAUGUCACAGUGGUAACUUGGAGCCCCUGGACUCCCCCAAUUCCUCCUUCGGCAUUCACCCUCCUCCAGGGGUUUCCCCAUAAUUGGCCUGAAUGGUGCCCUUCCCAUUCCCCCAACGUGUCCCUCCCAUAACUCCUCAAAGUUCAGGAUACACCAGGCGCUGUGAUUCACAAUAAAGUCUGCCUUUAUUGAUGUGUAUCAUGUUUAC